GACGAACGCUGGCGGCGUGCUUAACACAUGCAAGUCGAACGGGUCUGCCCUGUUUUUUGCGGGGUGGGUCAGUGGCGAACGGGUGAGUAACACGUGAGUAACCUGCCCCUCACUUCUGGAUAACCGCUUGAAAGGGUGGCUAAUACGGGGUGUUCUGGCUGUGCCGCAUGGUGUGGCUGGGAAAGAUUCACUUUUGUGGUGUCUUGGUGGGGGAUGGGCUCGCGGCCUAUCAGCUUGUUGGUGGGGUGAUGGCCUGCCAAGGCUUUGACGGGUAGCCGGCCUGGGAGGGUGGGCGGUCACACUGGGACUGAGAUACGGCCCAGACUCCUGCGGGAGGCAGCAGGGGGGGGUAUUGCACAAUGGGCGGAAGCCUGAUGCAGCGGCGUCGCGUGAGGGAUGGAGGCCUUCGGGUUGUGAACCUCUUUCGCCGGUGAAGAAGGUCCUGCUCUUUGUGGUGGGGUUGACGGUAGCCGGGUUAUGAAGCGCCGGCUAACUACGUG
rnacentral:rRNA from 1 species